rnacentral:rRNA from 1 species
AUUGAACGCUGGCAGCAGGCCUAACACAUGCAAGUCGAGCGGAUGAAGGGAGCUUGCUCCUGGAUUCAGCGGCGGACGGGUAAGUAAUGCCUAGGAAUCUGCCUGGUAGUGGGGGAUAACGUCCGGAAACGGGCGCUAAUACCGCAUACGUCCUGAGGGAGAAAGUGGGGGAUCUUCGGACCUCACGCUAUCAGAUGAGCCUAGGUCGAAUUAGCUAGUUGGUGGGGUAAAGGCCUACCAAGGCGACGAUCCGUAACUGGUCUGAGAGGAUGAUCAGUCACACUGGAACUGAGACACGGUCCAGACUCCUACGGGAGGCAGCAGUGGGGAAUAUUGGACAAUGGGCGAAAGCCUGAUCCAGCCAUGCCGCGUGUGUGAAGAAGGUCUUCGGAUUGUAAAGCACUUUAAGUUGGGAGGAAGGGCAGUAAGUUAAUACCUUGCUGUUUUGACGUUACCAACAGAAUAAGCACCGGCUAACUUCGUG